CGCGUAGGCGGUAUGGGAAGUCAUGGGUGAAAGUCCUCGGCUCAACCGAGGGAUUGCCUGUGAAACCACCAUACUGGAGUGCUGGAGAGGGAAGUGGAAUUCCCAGUGUAGCGGUGAAAUGCGUAGAUAUUGGGAGGAACACCGGUGGCGAAGGCGGCUUCCUGGACAGACACUGACGCUGAGGCGCGAAAGCCAGGGGAGCGAACG
rnacentral:rRNA from 1 species